GUGCUUGAGCCCAGGAGUUCUGAGCUGUAACACAUUAUGCCUAUAUAGUUUCCACACUAAAUUUGGCAUCAAUACCGUGACCUCUUGAGAGCAGAGGUUGCCUAAGGAGGGGUGAAUUGGCCCAGCUCAGAAACAGAGCAGGUCAAAACUCCCCUGCUGAUCAGUAGUGGAACUGCGCUUGUGAAUAACCACUGCACCCCAGCCUGGGCAAUUUAGCAC
rnacentral:sRNA from 1 species